AUUAUGGAGAGUUUGAUCCUGGCUCAGGAUGAACGCUGGCGGCGUGCCUAAUACAUGCAAGUCGAGCGAACAGAUGAGAAGCUUGCUUCUCUGAUGUUAGCGGCGGACGGGUGAGUAACACGUGGGUAACCUACCUAUAAGACUGGGAUAACUCCGGGAAACCGGGGCUAAUACCUGAUAAUAUUUUGAACCGCAUGGUUCAAUAGUGAAAGACGGCUUCGGCUGUCACUUAUAGAUGGACCCGCGCCGUAUUAGCUAGUUGGUAAGGUAAUGGCUUACCAAGGCAACGAUACGUAGCCGACCUGAGAGGGUGAUCGGCCACACUGGAACUGAGACACGGUCCAGACUCCUACGGGAGGCAGC
rnacentral:rRNA from 1 species